rnacentral:rRNA from 1 species
UUCGUGUGAACAGUGGUUGAUCACGAGUUAGUCGGUCCUAAGUUCAAGGCGAAAGCCGAAAAUUUUCAAGUAAAAAAGAAAAAUGAACAAAUAAAAUUGAAAAAUAAAACACUUGAAUAAUUUUGAACGAAAGGGAAUACGGUUCCAAUUCCGUAACCUGUUGAGUAUCCGUUUGUUAUUAAAUAUGGGCCUCGUGCUCAUCCUGGCAACAGGAACGACCAUAAAGAAGCCGUCGAGAGAUAUCGGAAGAGUUUUCUUUUCUGUUUUAUAGCCGUACUACCAUGGAAGUCUUUCGCAGAGAGAUAUGGUAGAUGGGCUAGAAGAGCAUGACAUAUACUGUUGUGUCGAUAUUUUCUCCUCGGACCUUGAAAAUUUAUGGUGGGGAUACGCAAACUUCUCAACAGGCCGUACCAAUAUCCGCAGCUGGUCUCCAAGGUGAAGAGUCUCUAGUCGAUAGAAUA